UCCCUGGUAGUCCAGUGGUUAGGACUUGGAACUGUCACUGCUGUGUAACCGGGUUCAGUCCCUAGUCAGGGAA
rfam:Ovis aries breed Texel chromosome 9, whole genome shotgun sequence.